rnacentral:piRNA from 1 species
UGGCUUCACACAGCCAGAUGUCUACCCGGGUU